UUGAAAAGAUGUCAUGGAUAUUAGGUCUACCUCGGAACGUACAAAUUAUGUGUUUCCUAAGCUACUACCAGCCAAGUGUAGGCCUAUUUUUCCUAAAGAGAAUUUACUCAAAGGUUUGUUGCGUGAUGUUUCUGUUAAAUAGUGCUGGAUGUAAAAAAAACAAAAAGAAAACACACAGGCCGUUUAAUAAAACUUGAGUAAACUUAUGUGUGUGUGCUUCAUCUUUAAAGAAAUAAACGACCCACCACCAAGCAACAAAUUGGGCGUGAAGAAAGAAAAGUCCGAAGAAAGCAAAGGAGACAAACAACGGGGGAAAAUGAAGAAAAAUAAUUCUUUGAACACAAUAGAGUCGCUGUCGGACCACCGCAGAUGAUGGCCAUCGUCUUAUUAUAUUGAAGGCACAAGCAGGGAGAGCCAAGGAGGCCAAUGCUACGCUAAUUUGUGGACUUCGGCGAACUCAUGAAAAGGGACCGGCCUAAGCAGUAAGGAUGCGCUGUACACAUCUUCACUGUUGGUUUGUAAAUCUUUGCUCUUUUGUGUAAUAGCCAUUGGUGCAUAAAUAACAAGGGAUAAUGACACUGUUAUUUAGUUCCUUAACAAUUAGGUAACCUCCAUAAUUUUUAUGCGCAAACUUAUUGUCCUCCUUCCAAUCUUAUUCAAUAAUUUUCAACUAAACGAUUAUACCUGCCAUCUGCCUGUCACCAAACAAGUUAGUAUUACACACAAUCCGGGUAACACUAACACCCGUGCAGUGAACGACACACGGUGUUCGCGAUAUUCCAAAUGGCCAAAAUGUUACAAACUUUUCGAUCUGUGCUGUCGGCAACGCAGGGAUUCUGAGGGGCGGUGCAGUGGACUUUGGGAUUGUGAUGAGUUUACCUGUGAAGGAAAAGCAGAAUAGCGUUGGUUUUCAGGCGGAUUGAUGACGUGCGUCACCUACCAUAGGAAGCGGGAUAACAUCUUUUAAAAAGAUUUUCAGCCUAUUUCUCGAUAGGGAUUCUAUCUAUAAAAAAUCAUCCUCAUCAUUCACAACCAACUUCUCAUUUUUCGGUGACUUCUCGCGAUAGAUGGCGUUUCCAUUUCGGGGGUACCUCAACUAUUCUUUUAUAGGUUUUUUUCACCUUCCAUGCUACAACGGAAAUUAGUGUCGUCCGGUAGAGCAAAGAAUGUUGCAGUGUAACGUGAAGUUCCCAUAAUUUUAGACUGAACAUUGAAGAUGUGGGUAAAAAUCUAGGCAGCCGAAUAAAGUUUCGGUAGUUUUUUCUUCUUUACAAUAGAUGGCCUUACGAGUAAAACUAUGGAAACAAGGCCGCGAAGGUGUUGUCUGCGAAGGUGGAAACAAGGGUGUUCGCGAAGUUUUCAAUUGCCUUGGAGCAAGAAAGCUAAGAGUUUUAAAAACUAUAAGCAUCACCUUAAAAAGAAC